ensembl:lncRNA
GUGAACUUCCACAACGCCCCGAUCCUGCUUCUCAGGGGUGUCUUUGGUUGUGGCUAGUUUGUUUGCAUUGAGGUAUUCACUGAGAAACAGUGGGAUGUGUCCUCCUCUGCGGACUUUGGCUGAGACUCUUCCCUCCAGCACAGCAGCAUUCUGCAUGCAAGAUUGGGUUAGAGGCCCUCUGAUAUGGGAGCGGUAAAACAGAGCUACGAAAGGCGUGUGCCCUGGGAGUAGUUUGCAGCCUCUGCCAGGGAGAUGCCAGGACACAGUGGAAAAGGAUGACGGUGGAAAUAAUGUGAACGUGCUUUCCUGUGAGUAUGACAGAGCGCAUAAUUAGGAGCCUUCUGUAUAUUUUAUUGUAGCAGUGCAGUAGACAAAGAAAUAAUAAGGCAUCCAUGAAAACUUGAGGCAGUUUGCUGGUGUUAAUGCAGUAGAGUUCUUAGAGAAGGACUUGAAGUUUCAGGAUAAAAUUGGGGCAGGAAAAAAAGGUAUUACGUGAUGUUUCUUCUACCCUUUGCAGCUGCCUUCUUGCAGAGACGGGUACUUGGCAGUGGGGUGGAAUGAGAUUAAGAAUGGGUAAACUUAUUUGGAAUGUUUGCUUUAUUUAACGUGAUUAUUUGCUUCCAAAUUUUAUCUACUGUGUUCUAAAUGCACGUGGUGCUUCCAAAGAGAUGGUUAAGCUCAGAUGAAGACGAAACAAGACAGUGAAUUUUUUUGGCAUCUUAAACAUUCUGUGAGUUGGAUGCUGUCUCAGAUGUUGGGAGCUGAGGUGUGAAACCAGCUUUGGUGCAGAUCCAGCAUCCCCCCCAGGGAAACACUGGCAGAAAAGCAUGUGAGUUACCAUCACAGCUGCGUCCUACUGUGUAUGGGACUGUUGAAUCACGGCCUAAACCUCUGAUUGACCACCUGAGGCGAGCACUGAGUCAGCCCUGGGAGCACAGCUGAAGGCAAUCCAGCUGUGGGACCAGAAGGGUGGAGCCAGGCUGCACCUCUCCUAGACCUCAUUUAAGGGCUGACUGCCCAUAGGGAAGGAUCUCUCCCUGGAGAUUGCUCCUUGUGGAGUUUUUUGUGAGCCUACAACACUGGUGAGCACCUUUCAUUUAUAUCUGAUUAUCUUUUCUAACACAGUGAUCUUACCAGUCUGUCUUCUCUGUAUGCUGUAUAACGUCUGUAUGCUUACUAACCAUACAUGCUGCCACUGGGGUUCUCUGAGAGAGCAUCAUUUUAGAAGGG